GAAUUGCUGUGGCAUACGAGUUCACAUCUAUGUGUUGACCGACUAUUUCUUUGUAUUAUCGGGAAACCAGGUUUUUCCCUAGUAUGCAAGCCGUUCCACGCGGAAGCAACUGUAAAGGGAAAACAGGUUACCCACCUGCUUAAUUGCGCGGGUUCAAUACAAAACGUGAACCACCGGUGCCAAUACAGCAUUCUU
rfam:Streptococcus pseudoporcinus LQ 940-04 Contig1216510750, whole genome shotgun sequence.